AUGUUCUCUACACUUCUACUCUUGCUGUUAACAGCUACAUCUGGUGUUCACAGUGUUGAGCUGAUCCAGACCGGAUCCACAGUAUUAACUCCUGGUCAGUCACUGACUCUGACCUGUAAAGCGUCUGGAUAUUCAUUAACUGAUAGCAGCUACUGUACACACUGGAUACGACAACCUGCAGGAAAAACUCUGGAAUGGAUCGGAGCGAUAUGUGGUGGUGGUGACACUUACUACAGUGAGAAACUGAAAAGCAGGUUUCAGGUUUCCAGAGACACGUCCAGCAGCACAGUGACACUGAGAGGACAGAAAAUGCAGACUGAAGACACAGCUGUGUAUUACUGCGCUCGUGAAGCU